AUGUGGGUUUAGCAGUAGCAUAUAAAUGAAAACAGGAACAAUAUAGAGGAGAUCAGCCUGACCUUGUGCCAGGAUGAUAUGCAAAUUCAUGAGGGUUCUAUACUUGG
ensembl:snRNA U6 U6 spliceosomal RNA